rnacentral:tRNA from 1 species
UCCCUGGCAGUCCAGUGGUUAAGACUCUACCCUUCCAAUGUAGGGGGCGAAGGUUCAAUUCCUGGUCAGGGAA